GAUGAACGCUGGCGGCGUGCCUAAUACAUGCAAGUCGAGCGAACAGAUAAGGAGCCUGCUCCUUUGAAGUUAGCGGCGGACGGGUGAGUAACACGUGGGUAACCUACCUAUAAGACUGGGAUAACUUCGGGAAACCGGAGCUAAUACCGGAUAACAUUUAGAACCGCAUGGUUCUAAAGUGAAAGAUGGUUUUGCUAUCACUUAUAGAUGGACCCGCGCCGUAUUAGCUAGUUGGUAAGGUAACGGCUUACCAAGGCGACGAUACGUAGCCGACCUGAGAGGGUGAUCGGCCACACUGGAACUGAGACACGGUCCAGACUCCUACGGGAGGCAGCAGUAGGGAAUCUUCCGCAAUGGGCGAAAGCCUGACGGAGCAACGCCGCGUGAGUGAUGAAGGGUUUCGGCUCGUAAAACUCUGUUAUUAGGGAAGAACAAAUGUGUAAGUAACUGUGCACAUCUUGACGGUACCUAAUCAGAAAGCCACGGCUAACUACGUG
rnacentral:rRNA from 1 species